GUAGUCAUAUGCUUGUCUCAAAGAUUAAGCCAUACAUGUCUAAGUAUAAGCAAUUAUACCGCGAAACUGCGAAUGGCUCAUUAAAUCAGUUAUCGUUUAUUUGAUAGUACCUUACUACAUGGAUAACCGUGGUAAUUCUAGAGCUAAUACAUGCUGAGAAUCCCGACUUCGGAAGGGAUGUAUUUAUUAGAUUAAAAACCAAUGCCCUCACGGGCUCUCUGGUGAUUCAUAAUAACUUCUCGAAUCGCACGGCCUUGCGCCGGCGAUGGUUCAUUCAAAUUUCUGCCCUAUCAACUUUCGACGGCUGGGUCUUGGCCAGCCGUGGUGACAACGGGUAACGGGGAAU
rnacentral:rRNA from 1 species